rnacentral:piRNA from 1 species
CCACAGUAAAAGGUACAUGCCCACUAU